rnacentral:misc_RNA from 1 species
GAUGAAGAACGUAGCGAAAUGCGAUACUUGGUGUGAAUUGCAGAAUCCCGUGAACCAUCGAGUCUUUGAACGCAAGUUGCGCCCGAAGCCAUUAGGCCGAGGGCACGCCUGCCUGGGCGUCACACGUCGUUGCCCCCCCAUCUACUCCUUCGGGAUUGCGGGGGGCGGAUGAUGGCCUCCCGUGCGCCUCGUCGCGCGGUUGGCAUAAAUGUCAAGUCCUCGGCGACGCACGCCACGACAAUCGGUGGUUGCGAAACCUCGGUUGCCCGUCGUGUGCGGUCGUCGCGCAUCGAGGGCUCGAAAAAAUUGCCGGGCUCUGAUUCGGCUUUCAACGCGACCCCAGGUCAGGCGGGGUUACCCGCUGAAUUUAAGCAUAUCAAUAGGCGGA